UUUCGUCGUCUAAGUGGAAUC
rnacentral:snRNA from 1 species